rnacentral:piRNA from 1 species
UAAAACUUUAAAGAGCCCUCGAGUGUCUUC